CCUACGGGAGGCAGCAGUAGGGAAUCUUUCACAAUGGGCGAAAGCCUGAUGGAGCAACGCCGCGUGCAGGAUGAAGGCCUUCGGGUUGUAAACUGCUUUUAUAAGCGAGAAAUAUGAUGGUAACUUAUGAAUAAGGAUCGGCUAACUACGUGCCAGCAGCCGCGGUCAUACGUAGGAUCCGAGCAUUAUCCGGAGUGACUGGGUGUAAAGAGUUGCGUAGGUGGCAUAAUAAGUAGCUAGUGAAAUCUGGUGGCUCAACCAUUCAGACUAUUAGCUAAACUGUUAAGCUCGAGAACGUUAGGGGUAACUGGAAUUUCUAGUGUAGGAGUGAAAUCCGUAGAUAUUAGAAAGAACACCAAUAGCGUAGGCAGGUUACUGGGACGGUUCUGACACUAAGGCACGAAAGCGUAGGGAGCAAACGGGAUUAGAUACCCUUGUAGUC
rnacentral:rRNA from 1 species